rnacentral:rRNA from 1 species
CUCAGGGAGGUAGUGACAAGAAAUAACAACACUGGAAAUUUUAUUUCUAGUGAUUGGAAUGAUGGGAAUUUAAACCCCUUUCAGAGUAACAAUUGGAGGGCAAGUCUGGUGCCAGCAGCCGCGGUAAUUCCAGCUCCAAUAGCGUAUAUUAAAGUUGUCGCAGUUAAAAAGCUCGUAGUUGGAUGUCUGCUGGAAGCAAUCAGUCCGCCCUAUUUGUAGGGUGUGCACUUGAUGAAUUCUGGCAUCUAUGUCCUAAUGUGAUAGAUACGGCGGUGUAUAUGGGUUAAUCCUAUAUACCCGUUUUUGUAUAUUAUAUUGGGAUAAUACCGUUACUUUGAGAAAAUUAGAGUGUUUGAAGCAGGCUAAUUGCCUUGAAUACUGCAGCAUGGAAUAACAAUAUAGGAUUUCGGUUCUAUUUUGUUGGUUUCUAGGACUGAAAUAAUGAUUAAUAGGGACAGUUGGGGGCAUUCGUAUUUAACUGUCAGAGGUGAAAUUCUUAGAUUUGUUAAAGACGAACUACUGCGAAAGCAUUUGCCAAAGAUGUUUUCAUUAAUCAAGAACGAAAGUUAGGGGCUCGAAGACGAUCAGAUACCGUCGUAGUCUUAACCAUAAACUAUGCCGACUAGAGAUAGGAAAAUGUCAUUUUUCUGACUU